AUUAGGGUUUGUGGAAAAAGAAAGAGUGGUUUUGUGGCAGCUCUUUCUUUACAAUUGAAAUCUGAGAAAAAUUGAGAUUUAUUCUUGUACGCUGCGUCGUGGGUUUUUCGCUUUUUCGCAGUUGUAUCGCAGGUUUCGAUGGCGACUUUCAUGGUGUCCACGAACCCAGGGGCGCGUCGGAGGUCGGUGCUCGUUGCCGAGAGGAAAAUCGCCACCAACAUAAAGCUCCUCGCCAACGACAUCGCCGCCUCCCCCGCAGUCGCGACUUCCGGCAAAGGUGCCAUGGGCGCCUGGCACAACCUUAGCCACCACGAACCUUAAUACGAAACUCCAUGGGUGUCAGGCACUCAUUUUUGUUCGAUUGAAUAUUGGUGUUUGUUUACACACCUCUUGCAACACCGAUAAUUUUUUCUUUAUUUUUUUUUUCGUUUCGUUUCGUAAGUUUGGUUUCGAUGGAAGAACUUUAUCCCUGAUUUUGUAUCGCUAAAUGAUCGUGUAUGUUAUUUUGGAAAUUAGCAUGA